GACGAACGCUGGCGGCGUGCUUAACACAUGCAAGUCGAACGGAAAGGCUCUGCUUUUGUGGCGUGCGCGAGUGGCGAACGGGUGAGUAACACGUGAGUAACCUGCCCUUGACUUUGGGAUAACUUCAGGAAACUGGGGCUAAUACCGGAUAUGAGCUCCUUCUGCAUGGUGGGGGUUGGAAAGUUUCGGCGGUUGGGGAUGGACUCGCGGCUUAUCAGCGUGUUGGUGGGGUAGUGGCUUACCAAGGCUCUGACGGGUAGCCGGCCUGAGAGGGUGACCGGCCACAUUGGGACUGAGAUACGGCCCAGACUCCUACGGGAGGCAGCAGUGGGGAAUAUUGCAAAAUGGGCGGAAGCCUGAUGCAGCAACGCCGCGUGCGGGAUGACGGCCUUCGGGUUAUAAACCGCUUUCGCCUGUGACGAAGAGUGAGUGACGGUAAUGGGUAAAGAAGCAACGGCUAACUACGUG
rnacentral:rRNA from 1 species